rnacentral:rRNA from 1 species
UAGGGAAUCUUCCGCAAUGGACGCAAGUCUGACGGAGCAACGCCGCGUGAGUGAAGAAGGAUUUCGGUUCGUAAAACUCUGUUGUUAGAGAAGAACAGCGCAUAGAGGAACUGUUAUGCGUGUGACGGUAUCUAACCAGAAAGCCACGGCUAACUACGUGCCAGCAGCCGCGGUAAUACGUAGGUGGCAAGCGUUGCCCGGAUUUAUUGGGCGUAAAGCGAGCGCAGGCGGUCAAUUAAGUCUGAUGUGAAAGCCCCCGGCUCAACCGGGGGGGGUGAUUGGAAACUGGUUGACUUGAGUGCAGAAGAGGGGAGUGGAAUUCCAUGUUUAACGGUGAAAUGCGUAGAUAUGUGGAGGAAAACCAGUGGCGAAGGCGACUCUCUGGUCUGUAACUGACGCUGGGGCUCGAAAGCGUGGGUAGCAAACAGG